GACGAACGCUGGCGGCGUGCCUAAUACAUGCAAGUAGAACGCUGAAGAGAGGAGCUUGCUCUUCUUGGAUGAGUUGCGAACGGGUGAGUAACGCGUAGGUAACCUGCCUUGUAGCGGGGGAUAACUAUUGGAAACGAUAGCUAAUACCGCAUAACAAUGGAUGACACAUGUCAUUUAUUUGAAAGGGGCAAUUGUUCCACUACAAGAUGGACCUGCGUUGUAUUAGCUAGUAGGUGAGGUAAUGGCUCACCUAGGCGACGAUACAUAGCCGACCUGAGAGGGUGAUCGGCCACACUGGGACUGAGACACGGCCCAGACUCCUACGGGAGGCAGCAGUAGGGAAUCUUCGGCAAUGGGGGCAACCCUGACCGAGCAACGCCGCGUGAGUGAAGAAGGUUUUCGGAUCGUAAAGCUCUGUUGUAAGUCAAGAACGGGUGUGAGAGUGGAAAGUUCACACUAUGACGGUAGCUUACCAGAAAGGGACGGCUAACUACGUGCCAGCAGCCGCGGUAAUACGUAGGUCCCGAGCGUUGUCCGGAUUUAUUGGGCGUAAAGCGAGCGCAGGCGGUUUGAUAAGUCUGAAGUUAAAGGCUGUGGCUCAACCAUAGUUCGCUUUGGAAACUGUCAAACUUGAGUGCAGAAGGGGAGAGUGGAAUUCCAUGUGUAGCGGUGAAAUGCGUAGAUAUAUGGAGGAACACCGGUAGCGAAAGCGGCUCUCUGGUCUGUAACUGACGCUGAGGCUCGAAAGCGUGGGGAGCGAACAGGAUUAGAUACCCUGGUAGUCCACGCCGUAAACGAUGAGUGCUAGGUGUUGGAUCCUUUCCGGGAUUCAGUGCCGCAGCUAACGCAUUAAGCACUCCGCCUGGGGAGUACGACCGCAAGGUUGAAACUCAAAGGAUUUGACGGGGGCCCGCACAAGCGGUGGAGCAUGUGGUUUAAUUCGAAGCAACGCGAAGAACCUUACCAGGUCUUGACAUCCCGAUGCUAUUUCUAGAGAUAGAAAGUUACUUCGGUACAUCGGUGACAGGUGGUGCAUGGUUGUCGUCAGCUCGUGUCGUGAGAUGUUGGGUUAAGUCCCGCAACGAGCGCAACCCCUAUUGUUAGUUGCCAUCAUUCAGUUGGGCACUCUAGCGAGACUGCCGGUAAUAAACCGGAGGAAGGUGGGGAUGACGUCAAAUCAUCAUGCCCCUUAUGACCUGGGCUACACACGUGCUACAAUGGUUGGCACAACGAGUUGCGAGUCGGUGACGGCGAGCUAAUCUCUUAAAGCCAAUCUCAGUUCGGAUUGUAGGCUGCAACUCGCCUACAUGAAGUCGGAAUCGCUAGUAAUCGCGGAUCAGCACGCCGCGGUGAAUACGUUCCCGGGCCU
rnacentral:rRNA from 1 species